GUCCCUUUAAUGAUGCCCCCAUCCCAUUUUAAAGUACACUAUUUGUGUGCCACACAUAAAGAGAUGGCGACAAAAGCCAUUUAUUGAUCUGCUUUGAAUAAAUACUGUAUAAUUAUGUAAGAACGUUUUCACAUCUCACUACAAAAGAACACAGUUUCAAUUUAAUGAACAAUGCUUUAUUUCCACUUCUGAUUGCUUCAAUAUAGCCCAGCGAACUUAGUACAGAUUCAUGAGAACAAAAUAAGAUAUACAGCAAAGCUGAAACACAUCAAUAAAAACUACAGUUAAUUUUAUCACUUUUAGGUUUAUUCAACUAGAGUAGGGACUGUCUAUACAAAGUACAGAAACAGGAACGGUAGCAUUCUAACAAAAGAUGUUGACAAGCCAUGUUACAAUUCUCCCAACAGGUCUCUUCUACCAUGUUGGAUUUGGCCUGAUGAUGUUACAAUUCUCUCAACAGGUCCCUUCUACCAUGUUGGAUUUGGCCUGAUGAUGUUACAAUUCUCUCAACAGGUCCCUUCUACCAUGCUGGAUUUGGCCUGAUGAUGUUACAAUUCUCUCAACAGGUCCCUUCUACCAUGCUGGAUUUGGCCUGAUGAUGUUACAAUUCUCUCAACAGGUCCCUUCUACCAUGUUGGAUUUGGCCUGAUGAUGUUACAAUUCUCUCAACAGGUUCCUUCUACCAUGUUGGAUUUGGCCUGAUGAUGUUACAAUUCUCUCAACAGGUCCCUUCUACCAUGUUGGAUUUGGCCUGAUGAUGUUACAAUUCUCUCAACAGGUCCCUUCUACCAUGUUGGAUUUGGCCUGAUGAUGUUACAAUUCUCUCAACAGGUCCCUUCUACCAUGCUGGAUUUGGCCUGAUGAUGUUACAAUUCUCUCAACAGGUCCCUUCUACCAUGCUGGAUUUGGCCUGAUGAUGUUACAAUUCUCUCAACAGGUUCGUUCUACCAUGUUGGAUUUGGCCUGAUGAUGUUACAAUUCUCUCAACAGGUCCCUUCUACCAUGUUGGAUUUGGCCUGAUGAUGUUACAAUUCUCUCAACAGGUCCCUUCUACCAUGCUGGAUUUGGUCUGAUGAAUCAAAGUAGUAUUCAAGUGAAGAGAGUAUCUCUCAGCUCUGGGGGAGGUGGGGAUUGGGGGGUAUGCAUCCCCCAGGUCAUUAAGGGAUCUUGGCAAGAAUAACAUUUGGUGUCAGUUACAAAGUGUAUGGUGUAUGUACCAGUGUGGUGGUUUAAAUGUUUUAGAGAGUGUACAUACUAGAGUGUGGUGGUUUAAAUGUUUUAGAAAGUGUACGUACCAGUGUGUUGUGAUUUAAAUGUUUUAGAAAGUGUACGUACCAGAGUGUUGUGAUGUAAAUGUUUUAGAAAGUGUGCAUACUAGAGUGUGUCAAAUGUUUUAGAACGUGUACAAACCAGAGUGUGGUGGUUUAAAUGUUUUAGAAAGUGUACAAAACAGAGUGUGGUGGUUUAAAUGUUUUAGAAAGUGUAUGAACCAGAGUGUGGUGUGUCAAAUGUUUUAGAAUGUGUACAAACCAGAGUGUGGUGGUUUAAAUGUUUUAGAAAGUGUACGAAACAGAGUGUGGUGGUUUAAAUGUUUUAGAAAGUGUACGAACCAGAGUGUGGUGGUUUAAAUGUUUUAGAAAGUGUACAAACCAGAGUGUGGUGGUUUAAAUGUUUCAGAAAGUGUAUGUACCAGAGUGUGGUGGUUUAAAUGUUUUAGAAAGUGUACACACCAGAGUGUGGUGGUUUAAAUGUUUUAGAAAGUGUACACACCAGAGUGUGGUGGUUUAAAUGUUUUAGAAAGUGUACACACCAGAGUGUUGUGAUUUAAAUGUUUUAGAAAGUGUA
rnacentral:lncRNA from 1 species